AAAGCCAGCCGCCAUGUCAGCAGAAUACUCCAACAGCCCUGUGGAGAACUGAGGCCUCCCUCCAACAGCCAGCACCAACAUGGCAGCCAUGUGAGUGAACUUCAUGGAAGGGGCUCCUCCAGCCCCAGUCAAGCCUUCAGAUGACAACAGGCUGGGCUGCUCACCUGACUGCAAUGUCAUGAGAGACCGGGAGCCAGAAUCACCCAGCUUAGCUCCUCCGGAAUCCCUGAGCUACAGAGACCAUGUAGAACCUUUGUUCUUUUAAGUUUGAGUCUGUUUCCUGAGUACCCUUCAGCUGAAGAGGAACUCCUCUUAGAAACUCAGCCUCGACCAUCCUAGUUCAUCUUGAGGCUGUAUGAACGCCCUUGACUUCCAGAAAAGAAAAGCACAGAGGGAGCUUGGGGAAGAUCUUCUGUAUUUGUGGUGGCUCUUAUCCAAGAAGGCCCCUCGCACACUGAACACAGCUGACCUGCAUAAUCCCUGGGAUGUUGUGGAAAUGACAGCAUGACUUCAGACACUAGAUUAAGUAAGACCUUGUGGCUUCUGCCUUGUUUUUUUUGGGGGGGGUCACUCUCCCUGGAAGAAACCAGCCACCGUGUUGUGAGGUGGUACCCUGUGGGGAGGCCCGCAUGCCACCAGCAGCCAACACGUGACUUGCCAGCCAUGAAAGCGAGCAGAUCUUCCAGUCCCGGUCAAGCCUUCAGAUGAUGACAGCACCAAAAACCAUCUUGACUGAACCUUGUUAGUGAGCCCCCGGCUAAGCCACGCUCCCAUUCCUGACCCACAGAAAUUGUGUGAGAUGAUAAAUGUUUACUGUUUUAUGCUGCCAAGACUCUGGGGGAAUUUGUUAUGCAGCCAUGGGUGACUGUUACAGUAUCUGAA